rnacentral:rRNA from 1 species
UACGGGGGGAGCAAGCGUUGUUCGGAUUUACUGGGCGUAAAGGGCGCGGUAGGCGGUCGUGACAAGUCACUUGUGAAAUCUCCGGGCUUAACUCGGAACGGUCAAGUGAUACUGUCGGACUAGAGUACAGAAGGGGCAACUGGAAUUCUCGGGUGUAGCGGUGAAAUGCGUAGAUAUCAAGAGGAACACCUGAGGCGAAGGCGGGUUGCUAGGCUGACACUGACGCUGAGGCGCGAAAGCUAGGGUAGCAAACGGG